CCUCAAUAAGCGCGAUCACAUUCUGUGUCUGGCGCUUCUCCUCACGCUCUCAUUCAGAAGAAUUACAUUUUUAAUUUAUGAAAUGUGUAUUCUUUGGGGUCUAUAUGUUUUCGUCACUGACAUUUGCAGCAGUGUUUUCUCAAAGAAGGUCUUUAAAUACUGACAGCUUAAUUCCAGAUACGGCCAUCAAAUAGCUGAGAUUACCACUGGUUGGUCACGUCUUCCCCAGCUUCACCAGCGCAUUCGCGCUCCGAGAUCGACGCGCUUCUCUUUGCACUCUCGAUAUUCCAACCUGCAUAUGAGAUGAUGGAAACUGACCCAGACUGAGCACCAUCUCUACAUCUGGGCCACACAGAUACUACACACACAGACACUGCACACUCUGCAAGACAAACUAAGAGAAGGAAAUAAAACCAACACUGCAGUCAGCUGAAGAUGUGGACGAACAACAUGCAGAGAAGGAGACACGUGAGGUUGAAGAUGGUGAGAGACACUGAUGAGGAGACACGCAACACUAAGGAGGUAGCCGAGACAAACUGAGUGUAAAUUCUGUAUGGACAGAUGUGUAGAAGUAAACCGCCUGUUGGAGGAGAACUGACAGCUGCUGUGUGAACAUGAAGAAUACAGGAUGUCUGAUGGAUUUUGUGACAAGAAUGAUGCUCAAGUACCAAACAGUAAAAAAACACAAAAUCUUAAUAACAAGACCCUCAACAUGAUACUGCCUUGUGAAGGUGAAGAUGUCACAUUACAGCACAGGAUUGUAACUGUCUGUUGUGUUCAACAAACCAAUGUCCAACUGUAGUGUAGAAGAGCUGUAGUUGUCAAUAAGAGUUAAAAGCUCAGGUCUAUAAAUGCAUUCUGUGCUUAAUUGAUACAUUCCUUGCAAAUUCCUUCCCAUUUUUGUAGCUUUGUUUCUUUCACUGUGUGUAUGAGUGUGUUUUGCUAAUGUUUCAUUCUGUCUUAUGUAAACAAUAUGAUGCAUUCCUCCAGAAAUGAA